rnacentral:lncRNA from 1 species
AUGCAUAAGUAUUAUCGCUCACUCCACUGCUGGACCAUUCACCUUUGUACGUGCUGGAGGCCUCAGGAACCAGCACAGAGGUCAGCCUACAGCGGCACAAGCAACCUCACCCCAAGCAGCAGCAGGGGUCCUCCUCUUCCCCUUGCUUGCUGCUCUGAACUCUGCCAGAGCCAGGAAAGAAGUCACCUUCCUCCAGGGAGCAGGCCUGCUCUGUUGAACUCUGAGUGACUACAGAAUCAGCUGGUGUUUGUUUAUUGUUUUUAUGUGGGUUGUUUUUUUUUUUUUUUUUGUCUUUUUGAGACAGGGUUUCACUAUGCACUUCAGGCUGGCCUUGAACUCACAGCCAUCCUGCUACCUCAGCUUCUGGAGUGCUGGGAUUACAGGUGUGAGCCACCAGAUCUAUUUUUAUGUUUUGAGACAGGGUCUCUCUAUGUAGUUCAGGCUAAUCCUGAACUCACUAUGUAACUCAGGCUGGCCUCGAAUUUGCAGGGAUCCUCCAGAGUGCUGGGAUCACAGGCAUGCACCACCACACCCUGGCCUAUUGUUUUGUUAUUCGGAGUAAAUUGCCCAUCACAAGCACUGCCAUGUGAAUGUUUGUGUCUCCCCAAAAGUCCUAUGUCGAAAUCUAACCGCCAGGGUGGUGGAGAUAAACGGUGAGGCUCUUGGAAUGGUGAUUAAGUUCUGAGGGAAGACCGUUGGUAAAUGGGUUAGUACUCAACACAGGAGGCCUGAAGGGGCUCGUCUGUCCCUUCUGCCCAGUAAAGAUGCAGAGGGAAGUCAGCAUCUAUGAGGCAGAGAGUGAGCCCUCCCAACACGGAGUCUGCUGGCACCUGGAUCUUGAGUUUGCAGCCUCAAAAGUAAGAAAUAAGUUUCAGUUGUUUAUAAGCCACAGAGAUUCAUGUUGUUUUGUUAUAGUAGCCUGAACAAACAAAGACACAAAAUUCAGGGAUAUAAUCAAAUGUUUGUAGGUUCAGGAAAAAAAUCUUAGGUCAACUUUUUGGUAAGGGGAGAGGGGCAAUAAUGUUAAAUUCAUAUUGUAAAGUUAUACUUGUAAAAAUAUUUACUGGAUAUACCUUUUUCUUAAGAAUUUAAGGUAUGUAAAUUUAUGGGAUUUUCUAGAUAACCUUCUAUUGUGGUUAAAGUAUACCUAACCUGACUUUACAAAGAAGGAAGUUAAAUCCAGAAAUGUCCAUGCCCACUUCUAGUAAGAUAAUUCAUAAAAAUCGAGAAUUCACCAGAUUCUGAAAUUCUGGACUCCUGUUACUUUCUUAUCUUGUUCAGAUAUGCCUUUCAACAGUUUAAGAAAAAUGCCUCUUCU